AGAAUCAACGCUGGCGGCGUGCCUAACACAUGCAAGUCGCACGAGAAAGUGGAGCAAUCCAUGAGUAAAGUGGCGCACGGGUGAGUAACACGUGAAUGAUCUACCUCCGAGUGGGGAAUAACUGAGAGAAAUCUUAGCUAAUACCGCAUAAUACCCACGGGUCAAAGCAGCAAUGCGCUUGGAGAGGAGUUCGCGGCCGAUUAGCUAGUUGGCGGGUAAUGGCCCACCAAGGCAAUGAUCGGUA
rnacentral:rRNA from 1 species